ACCUGGCUGGCUCAGUCGGUAGAGCAUGCAACUCUUGAUCUUGGGGUUGUGAGUUUGAGCCCCAUGCUGGGUG
rnacentral:tRNA from 1 species